UUCCCUGGUAGUUGGCGAACGACCGGGAAUUAGCCCAGCACCGAAUCCUGUAUGUUUCAUACUAGGAAUUGUGGUGUAAAGGUUGUGUCUUUAGUUGCUUGAGUAUGCUCCAAAUUCACUUGAUUGUGAUAUUGUCCAGAGAGGGUGUUAGACCCGUUGGAGUGUACAUUGGUGAUUAUUGAUGCUUCCUAUGAGUCGGAUUGUUUGAGAAUGCAGUCCAAAUGCGGUGGUAAACUCCAUCUAAGGCUAAAUACUUGUAUGAGUCCGAUAGCAAACAAGUACCGUGAGGGAAAGUUGAAAAGAACUUUGAAGAGAGAGUUAAAUAGUACGUGAAAUCGCUUAGAGGUAAACGAGUGGAGCCGAAAAGAUCGGAUGGGAUUCAGUUGGAUGUGCGAUAAUGAAGGCGUUCAGUAACAACCAUAACAGGCAUUACUGGAUCUUUAUGUAAUUGUCGUGCGUACAAUGCACUUUCUAUUCGAUUGGACUGUGACCAAUAGAAUGGUUUUUCUGUCGUAGAGUUGAAGGUGAUCAGUUGCUUGCAAUUGGUUUUAUAGCGCUUUACACGGUCAAAUCGAUGUAUUGGUGAACUAGCAAUCAGUCAAUGUUGACAAGCUGUUAUAUAUAUUAUUUGCUAAUUGACUACAUGUAGACUAUUAUCAAAUCGUGUGUGUGAUGUGCUUGUUGAUGGAUUGGUUUAAAGUCACAGUAAUAUGUAGGUUAUCUACUCGUCCCGUCUUGAAACACGGACCAAGGAGUUUUUAUAUGAUCGCGAGUCAAAGGGCUUUACGAAACCCCAGGGCGCAAUAAAUGUAAAGGUUUACUUUCGUGAACUGAGAUGUGACCUGAGUGCAAUACCUCAGUGCAAUAAUCGACCCGAUCUAAAGAUGUUCGCAUCUGGGCGGAGUUUGAGCGAUCAUGUAGGAGACCCCGAAAGAAUGGUUGAACUAUGCUUGUGCNAGGUUGAAAGUCAGAGAAAACUCUGAUGGGAGGACCGCCGCGGUUCUGACAUGCAAAUCGAUCGUUCGGACAUGAGUAUAGGGGCGAAAGACUAAUCGAACCAUCUAAGUAGCUGGUUCCCUCCGAAGUUUCCCUCAGGAUAGCUGGCGUUUGUUGUCGUAGUUUGACCUGGUAAAGCGAAUGAUUAGAAGUAUGGGGGCGAAAUGCCUUCAACUUAUUCUCAAACUUUAAAUGGGUUCGAUGUGUUACUCGCUUCAUUGGAGUUGCACGUUGAAUACGAAUGCCUAGUGGGCCAUUUUUGGUAAGCAGAACUGGCGAUGUGGGAUGAACCAAACAUCUGGUUAAGGUGCCUAACAUCACGCUCAUGAGAUCCCACAAAAGGUGUUGGUUGAUAAAGACAGCAGGACGGUGGACAUGGAAGUCGUCAUCCGCUAAGGAGUGUGUAACAACUCACCUGCCGAAUCAACCAGCCCUGAAAAUGGAUGGCGCUGUAGCGUGAGACCUAUACCGGAUCGAUAUCGUAAGUUUAUCAACGAGUAAACGGUAUCGUGUAGGAGGGUGCCGUGGUUGCUAAGAAGCUACUGGCGUGAGUCAGAGUGGAGCGGCCACGGGUACA
rnacentral:rRNA from 1 species